rnacentral:rRNA from 1 species
AUUGAACGCUGGCGGCAGGCCUAACACAUGCAAGUCGAGCGGAUGAGGAAAGCUUGCUUUUCGAUUCAGCGGCGGACGGGUGAGUAAUGCCUAGGAAUCUGCCUGUUAGUGGGGGAUAACUCGGGGAAACUCGGGCUAAUACCGCAUACGUCCUACGGGAGUAAGUGGGGGAUCUUCGGACCUCACGCUAACACAUGAGCCUAGGUCGGAUUGACUAGUAGGUGAGGUAAUGGCUCACCUAGGCGACGAUCCGUAACUGGUCUGAGCAGUUGAUCAGUCACACUGGAACUGAGACACGGUCCAGACUCCUACGGGAGGCAGCAGUGGGGAAUAUUGGACAAUGGGCGAAAGCCUGAUCCAGCCAUGCCGCGUGUGUGAAGAAGGUCUUCGGAUUGUAAAGCACUUUAAGUUGGGAGGAAGGGUAUUCACCUAAUACGUGGGUACUUUGACGUUACCAACAGAAUAAGCACCGGCUAACUCUGUGCCAGCCGCCGCGGUAACAC